rnacentral:ncRNA from 2 species
CCUGAAUUUCCGGGGUGCUCCAGGUGUGGGGCUGAGAUUACACCCGAUAACCUGAACAGGAUAAUGCCUGCGAAGGGAGUAAAUAUCACACGGCUG